GGAACAGCCUAGGGGCGGAGAAUACCGGUCUGGAAAGGCACACCAGGAUGAAGGGCUGCAUUUGCAGAAGGCGCCCCUUUUCUGGAGGCAAAGUGCGAGGCUGCUCCUACGAGCUUCAAUGCAACCUGAGUUCCUGUUGCCUCCAGCACGGCCUCUUUGCUGCCUGGCGGCGUCCAACUCAACCCUUUUCCUCUUCCUCGCUUGAUCCUGCUCUACUCUUGUCCCGGCGGAAUUCCUGAUCGCUUUCCUGUCUGCAAUCGCCUUUACUUCCAGCUCGAUAGGGAGUUUGGAACCGUCUUAUUGCUUUACGUAGCUUUUAUCCGCUUGCCAUGAAGAUACUCUCCUAACUCGACUCUCUCUUCAUCACUGGGGUUUUUAAAGUAGGGACUGGACAGUCAUUUAUCUGAAAUGGUAUAGGAUCGCCUGCUUGAGCAGGGGGCUGGACUAGAAGACCUCCAAGAUCCCUUCCAGCUCUAUCCUGAUUCUGAUUCUGUUGUCGGUCGAUCCCACUGAAAACAAUGUGCCCAGAGGAUUCUGACCCAGACACGCAGCUCGCUCCUCUCCCUUCUGUCGCGAACCCAAACAGUCUCCGGGAAAACGGAGAGAGAAAAGGGAAUUAUAAAAGAUGUUUUACAACUCGGCCGCUUCUUUUUCAGAUUAUUAGACGUCUUGGUAAACUAUAGUUUGUAGUAUCGGUUGCGGCUUGCAAAGAUUAACACUUGUAGGCAGUGGCCAAAUUGUUUACUUUCCCUUAGUGGGUUGAUACUUCAUAAGAGCAGGAAUGAUUAGUUUACCUACAAUCCUUUAAAAAUUCCAUUUAAGCUUGUGGUUGUCAUAAACUCAGGGCCGGAUUAAAAUACUUCUGCGGGUCAAAAGAGAUGCACUUUCGACAGUGAUAGGAGAACGGUAGAUGCUUGUUAAAGUAAUUUCUUUUAACUGCAAAGUGUAAGGACCCCGUCGCUGCUUUGGAUUUGCUGUUAAUAAAUUCCUUUGAAUGAA